CCCUGUGGCUCAGUUGGUAGAGCAUGGUGUGUGCAACACCAGGGUUGUGGGUUCAAUUCCCACAGGGG
rfam:Salmo salar isolate Sally breed double haploid chromosome ssa17, whole genome shotgun sequence.